GAUGAACGCUGGCGGCGUGCUUAACACAUGCAAGUCGAACGGUAAGGCCCUUCGGGGUACACGAGUGGCGAACGGGUGAGUAACACGUGGGUGAUCUGCCCUGCACUUCGGGAUAAGCCUGGGAAACUGGGUCUAAUACCGGAUAGGACCACUGCCUGCAUGGGUGGUGGUGGAAAGCUUUUGCGGUGUGGGAUGGGCCCGCGGCCUAUCAGCUUGUUGGUGGGGUAAUGGCCUACCAAGGCGACGACGGGUAGCCGGCCUGAGAGGGUGACCGGCCACACUGGGACUGAGAUACGGCCCAGACUCCUACGGGAGGCAGCAGUGGGGAAUAUUGCACAAUGGGCGCAAGCCUGAUGCAGCGACGCCGCGUGAGGGAUGACGGCCUUCGGGUUGUAAACCUCUUUCAGCACCGACGAAGCGCAAGUGACGGUAGGUGCAGAAGAAGGACCGGCCAACUACGUGCCAGCCGCCGCAGUAA
rnacentral:rRNA from 1 species